rnacentral:rRNA from 1 species
AGCGAACGCUGGCGGCAGGCCUAACACAUGCAAGUCGAACGAACUCUUCGGAGUUAGUGGCGGACGGGUGAGUAACACGUGGGAACGUGCCUUUAGGUUCGGAAUAACUCAGGGAAACUUGUGCUAAUACCGAAUGUGCCCUUCGGGGGAAAGAUUUAUCGCCUUUAGAGCGGCCCGCGUCUGAUUAGCUAGUUGGUGAGGUAAAGGCUCACCAAGGCGCCGAUCAGUAGCUGGUUUGAGAGGAUGAUCAGCCACAUUGGGACUGAGACACGGCCCAAACUCCUACGGGAGGCAGCAGUGGGGAAUCUUGCGCAAUGGGCGAAAGCAUGACGCAGCCAUGCCGCGUGAAUGAUGAAGGUCUUAGGAUUGUAAAAUUCUUUCACCGGGGACGAUAAUGACGGUACCCGGAGAAGAAGCCCCGGCUAACUUCGUG